CAGGCCCCGCCCCCAAGAUGGCGGCGCCCAUGUGCCGCUGAGAACGGCAGCAGGCCCCACUACCCUUUCUCAUCCCGAGAAGCUGAAGGCAGCGGAGAGCGCGGCUUCGGGGGAUGGAGGGUGCGCGGCAGACGGCGCGGGAGACGGCGCCUCGGCCUCGGAGGCGGCGGGACCGGGGCCUCUGCGACCGUCCGCCGGCCCCUCGCCGCCCCCCGGCCUCUCGUGCGACUCGUCCGGAAAACGGUCGCCCGCUCCGGUCCCUACAUCAUACCCCAGACGAACCCCGUCGGUAUCACUGGCUGCGACUCGCGCCAUCUUGGCCAUUGGCCGUGGAGGCCCCGAAGCAGCUCCUGCGCGUGCGCCGCGCUCCGACCUCGGGCUGCGGGGCGCCGGGAGCGGAAGUGCUCCGCUGACCCGAGGGCGGCGCGAGGUCGCGCCGCUUGUUGUCCUCCGACCUGGCUGUCGGGUUCUGGUAGCCAAGUACCGGGAGGCGGAGCGGGCACGGGCCGGAGGGCAGGUGGGGGUGAUGGGUUCGCGCCCCUGCGACCUCGGGGCCCUGGGCUGAGUGUGGGCGACGGGCCGGGGGCGACAGCCAGUGAUACUGUCAUUGAGUGAGUCGUGGGGUCAGGUUCAGCGGCCGUUUGCUGAGUGUCUAGUACGUGCGAGGCGCCCUUGGGUGCACGGUCAUCCUCCCGAGGGCUGUGAGUAGGUACUACGAUUGUCUUCAUUAUAUCGCGAGAAAGCAAGAACAGAAAGGCUCGUAGCCUGUCCAGAGUCACACGGCUAGAAAACCCCGGGAGAUCCUUCUAGCACCUAUGCGUUUCUAACGAGCGUUCCCGAAAUGUAUCAACUUUGUGCUUGCUGUGUGCCUUCCCUGCUAGAACACAGCUCCGCAGGGUCGGGGAACUCUGAUUACUUUGUUCACUGAUGUACCUGCAACACGUUGGACAGGUCCACAGUAGGCACUCAACUUUUUCACUGAAUGAAUCAAAGCGACAGAGCGGGCAAUCAGUUCGAGUCCACAGCUAGGACCUUACGGGAUGACGCAGUGCUUAGCUCCUUGUCUGGUGACAAUUAGGCUGCUACUAAGCGUUUACUCUUAACACUGAAACGAGGCCUUGUGGCUGCUUCCAUAAAGUAUUCCAUCUGGGUUUUCCUCACUUUCACUGCCUCAGAGAGGUUGCUCACUGCAUCUCCUGUGCUGUCGUUGUUUCCAGGGUCAGGGCGCAUCAGUGAGACCACUGCUCACCUCCUGCGGGCUCCAGCUCAGCCGUCCCUGGGCUUCCUAGUCUACAGAAGAGCCAGUCGAGGCCUCAGAAGAUGAGUUCCCUGGCUCAGGGACAGAUGCGGUGCUGUAGCCAUGGUCCCAACGGAGAUGCGUUUGUCUCUGGAUCGUUUGGUCCUGCGUCAUUAGGAACAAGAGAGCUCAUAUCAGAGUCCUAGGAGGAGGAGCCUCAGCUCAGAGCCUAGGACAGAGGGAGGAGGCUCAUAGGACAGACCCAAACCCUACAGCAGAGGGAAGAAGCUCACAGGACAAGUGGGAAUAUUGCACUUCCAGGAUGUCCGUGUGGAGUGCGUGCCUGCCUGUGGCACAGGACUUGGGUUCUCAUUUCCUAACUCAGGCAAGUUGAAGACCAGCUAGACCGCCCCAGGGAAAGCCAAGACCAACCUGUGUGGCAGACUGCAUUCGCAGACAGGGAAGCACAGAAAGGUCCAAGCGGCCAAGAAUUCACAACAUUCAGAAAAAUCAUUUAUCCAAGCACAGACUUCGUUUCUAUAAGACAAAGACUCUCUAAAUAUUACUCGUGGGGAAGGUGUUCAAAGUGUAAUUUAAACUUUCUCUACAUAA